CUCCGGCCGCUCGGGCGCCGGCUCCGGCUCCUCGCGGCAGCCCCGGGCCGAGGCGACGUGAGAUUGUAAAAAUCCAUGUGGGACGGCCCGGCGAGCCUCGGAAAGAUCACUGAUUGGAGUCAUUUUGUGGUACAGCUGAAAAGAAUCCAGUAAGAAAUCAUUAGAAGGUGUAAAUAUUGGCUUAAACUCCAGCUGAGUCUAGUAUUUCUUCUCUUUGGUAGCAUCUCAUCAUAAAGGAAACAUGUAUGGCAGUGCAAGAACAAUCACCAAUCUGGAAGGUAGUCCUUCCAGGUCACCACGUUUGCCAAGAUCUCCUCGUUUGGGCCACCGAAGAACGAGUAGUGGGGGAGGGGGAGGAGCAGGCAAGACUCUGUCCAUGGAGAAUAUCCAGUCCCUUAAUGCAGCCUAUGCUACAUCUGGACCCAUGUACCUGAGUGAUCAUGAAGGUGUGGCUUCAACAACUUACCCAAAGGGCACCAUGACUCUGGGCAGGGCUACCAAUCGAGCUGUGUAUGGAGGCCGUGUCACAGCCAUGGGGAGUAGUCCUAAUAUUGCUUCUGCUGGACUUUCCCACACAGACGUCCUCUCCUACACAGACCAACAUGGUCUGACUAGCUCAUCCCACCACCAUCACCACCAGGUCCCUUCCAUGUUGAGGCAGGUAAGAGACAGCACAAUGUUAGAUCUUCAGGCCCAGCUCAAGGAACUCCAGAGAGAGAACGACCUCCUCCGGAAGGAACUGGACAUCAAAGACAGCAAGCUGGGAUCUUCUAUGAAUAGCAUCAAGACUUUCUGGAGUCCUGAGCUUAAGAAAGAAAGAGUGUUGAGGAAAGAAGAGGCAGCCCGGAUGUCGGUCCUUAAAGAGCAGAUGAGGGUUUCUCAUGAAGAAAAUCAGCACCUGCAGCUGACAAUCCAAGCCCUUCAGGAUGAGCUGCGAACCCAGAGAGACCUCAACCACCUCCUGCAGCAAGAGAGUGGCAACCGCGGGGCUGAGCACUUCACCAUUGAGCUGACUGAAGAGAACUUCAGGAGACUCCAGGCUGAGCAUGACAGGCAGGCCAAAGAGCUGUUCCUUUUGAGGAAGACAUUAGAAGAGAUGGAACUGAGAAUUGAAACACAAAAACAGACCCUCAACGCUCGAGAUGAGUCGAUUAAAAAGCUCCUUGAGAUGCUGCAAAGUAAAGGCUUACCAUCCAAAAGCCUUGAGGAUGACAAUGAAAGGACACGUCGGAUGGCAGAGGCUGAGUCUCAGGUCAGCCACUUGGAAGUCAUUUUAGACCAGAAAGAGAAGGAAAAUAUUCAUCUUAGAGAGGAAUUGCACCGAAGAAGCCAACUUCAGCCGGAGCCAGCCAAGACGAAGGCUCUCCAGACUGUCAUCGAAAUGAAGGACACAAAAAUUGCUUCAUUGGAGCGAAACAUACGGGAUCUGGAGGAUGAGAUCCAGAUGUUAAAAGCCAAUGGUGUGCUGAACACCGAGGACCGUGAAGAAGAGAUCAAACAAAUAGAGGUUUACAAAAGUCACUCCAAGUUUAUGAAGACCAAGAUUGAUCAACUGAAGCAGGAACUUUCCAAGAAGGAGUCAGAACUUCUUGCCUUACAAACAAAGCUUGAAACUCUUAGCAAUCAAAAUUCAGAUUGCAAGCAACACAUUGAAGUGCUUAAAGAGUCGCUUACUGCCAAAGAACAGAGGGCUGCCAUCCUUCAGACUGAGGUAGAUGCACUGAGAUUACGACUGGAAGAGAAGGAAUCUUUUCUCAAUAAAAAAACAAAACAGCUACAGGACCUCACAGAAGAGAAGGGUACACUGGCUGGAGAGAUUCGGGACAUGAAAGAUAUGUUAGAAGUCAAGGAAAGAAAAAUCAAUGUUCUUCAGAAAAAGAUUGAAAACUUACAAGAACAACUUAGGGAUAAAGACAAGCAGCUGACCAACCUGAAAGACAGAGUGAAGUCCUUGCAGACAGAUUCCAGCAACACAGACACAGCACUGGCAACGUUGGAAGAGGCGCUGUCGGAGAAGGAGAGAAUAAUUGAACGCUUGAAAGAACAGCGGGAGAGAGAUGAUCGGGAAAGACUAGAAGAGAUAGAAUCCUUCCGGAAAGAGAACAAGGACCUGAAAGAGAAGGUCAAUGCUUUACAAGCUGAACUGACAGAGAAAGAAUCUAGUUUAAUUGAUCUCAAAGAGCAUGCAUCUUCAUUAGCCUCUGCAGGGCUGAAAAGAGACUCCAAAUUAAAAUCUCUAGAAAUUGCGAUCGAACAAAAGAAAGAAGAAUGUAGCAAAUUGGAAGCACAGUUAAAAAAGGCACAUAAUAUUGAAGAUGACUCCAGGAUGAACCCAGAGUUUGCAGAUCGACUAAAACAGCUUGAUAAAGAGGCAUCUUACUACCGCGAUGAGUGCAGCAAGGCCCAAGCAGAAGUAGACCGGUUGCUGGAGAUCCUCAAGGAGGUAGAGAAUGAAAAGAAUGACAAGGACAAGAAGAUUGCAGAGCUUGAAAGCUUGACGCUCAGGCAUAUGAAGGAUCAGAAUAAGAAGGUGGCCAACCUCAAGCACAACCAGCAGCUGGAAAAGAAAAAGAAUGCUCAGUUAUUGGAAGAAGUCCGCAGGCGAGAAGACAACAUGGCUGACAACUCACAGCAUUUGCAGAUAGAAGAGCUGAUGAAUGCAUUGGAGAAGACCAGACAGGAGUUAGACGCCACCAAAGCGCGCCUUGCCUCCACACAGCAGUCCCUGGCUGAAAAGGAAGCACACUUGGCCAACCUGCGGAUAGAGAGACGGAAACAGCUGGAGGAAAUCCUGGAGAUGAAACAGGAAGCACUUCUUGCGGCAAUCAGUGAAAAAGAUGCAAAUAUUGCCUUGCUGGAAUUGUCUGCCUCCAAAAAGAAAAAGACACAGGAAGAAGUUAUGGCCCUCAAGCGGGAGAAGGACCGACUAGUGCAUCAGUUAAAGCAGCAGACCCAGAAUAGAAUGAAGCUGAUGGCAGACAACUACGAUGAGGACCAUCACCAUCACCACCAUCACCACCACCACCACCACCAUCGAUCUCCUGGGAGGUCACAGUAUUCCAAUCACAGGCCCUCUCCAGACCAGGAUGACGAGGAGGGCAUAUGGGCAUAGCCGGUCCUGUAAACCAAAGUUCCAGUUUUGUUUUGAGGGAUGAUCCAGCUCUGUCGGAGGCACAUAGGCACAGCCAAAUCUCAUGCUGUACAUUGAUCACCUGUCCAACCUUUGCCUAGAGUGGGAGCCCCCAGUUCCUUCAAGAGAUCCAACUUUACCUGUCUGUAAAGAAGAAGAGAGGAGGGAGACAGCAGGGAGGAUCCGGUGGCAGUUUAACACCAGAGCAGCUGUCAGAAGGGCCGACUAAAGGGGAAGCACAGCUCUGCGGCAAUACUCUGAUAAUCUAUUGCAGUGCGGGUCAUGUCACUGUCCAACACCAGGAGCAGCUCAGCAGAACUGAAGGGGCGAGUUCACCUUCAUCGUCGACCAUGAUUCUCUUCUACUUCAUAUUUCCUUCAUCAUCUCCUUGUGGACUUGGAUAUAUUGGAAAGGAAGGAUGCACAGGAGGAGAAAAAUGGCAACUCCUCCAUUCUCUCAUGGGAUUUGGGCAUUUAAAAUGUGUCCAUAUAUUCUGAAUGUCCUUGCCUGAUAACAUUUUGUUUCUGUUACUUAAACCUCACUGGAUAUGUUGGAACUCCAUAGGAUUCUUAAUAUGAAUUCAGCUUCUGCUGGGCAGCAAGCAUCAUCUCCAGCUGCUCUGCUGGUUUGGUCUAAGUGAUCAUUCCUAAAGCAUUAGAUUAUCAAACUGUGUAAAUUUGCUGUGAGUGAGUGGUGUUGGCGGUGUUUAUCAUGAUGUGUGGAACCUCUGACAAACCAAAACACCAAAAAUCGCAAGCCUUUGCCCUCCUCUAUUUCUUUAAUGUGCUGUUUGAAGAACCACAUUUUGAGGUUGUAACCAAUAGUUACCUCUGGGCCAGGUUGGAAAUGAAAUCAAUUUUUUAAAACCACUAAUACUUGCCAAGAAAUCGCCUUAUGAGAACAUGGUGUGUGUCUCUGACAAUGCGUGGCACAUCUAGAUUGUCAUUCAUAGCUUUCUCUCCCUGCUUACUGGAGAGUGGCAAAAGCCUGAGGCAUCUGAGUGUCUCCCCUGUGUGUUUCUUUCUGGGCCCAGGGGCUGGGAUGUACCGAAACUCGGGCUCCUACCAUUCCCAUAUAGGCGGGUCUCCAUGAAGAAGCUGGGACUCAUUCACGCUUCCAGAUCCAAGUGCUGUGCAAACAGCAUUAGCCUACAUCAUCUGUAAACAAAGGGUCAUUUCUCUCUUUUGUUGAAAGUACGUCUCCAACAUGGAUUCCAAAGCAUUUUCAGCAUUCAACAUGAAAUCGUUGGUGAAUGCAGAACAAUCACAAAAGUUGUGUAUCUGUAUAUAGCUCUAUACAGCCUGUCUGUGGAUAACGAGUCAUUACUUAAAGCACAUGCCAGGGAAAGAGACCAAAUUUCAAGGUCUUUUAUAUACAGUAACAUGGUUCUAAGGAGAAUUAAACUCCUACCACUUCCUCUGAAGAUUAACGAUAUUAAAGUCAUGAGUCUGGCAAAUUUGCAACUCUUAUACUGACCCACUCUCUGGUCAGAGGAAGAAGCCCUUCCACGUGUAUGCAAGUGGGAGAGAAAACCCUGCAUUUUUUAAAGGACAAACAGUGAAUUUAAGCAUGAGUGGCCUUAAUAAAUAUAGUUGUCUUUCUUUGCUGCUGUGGAAAAGAUUCUAAACAAAUGUUCCUGAAGUCUUGCAUUGAAUUUAGUCAUUACUAUUCCUUUUUAAAAUGUUGGUGCAAUUAACUCUGGGCAUCUGUGCGAGCUGUGGAGAUCUUUAAAAGACAAACACCUUAUUGGCAGGGAAGAUGAACCUGUGCCUGAGCUGCACCUUUCCUGGAUGGUGCCCAGAGUUCAUGUAUUCAAGCAAGUUUCUUUCUUCCAGCUUGGUUCUUAUUGUCAGCAAGUAUACUAAAUUGUGUGAAGCUUACAUGUUGCAUAAAAAGUCCAAAUACAUUCACGUUUGAAAAGUUUGUCCUUUAAUUCUCAAAGGGACGUAGGGCUUGGUUGGCGAAGUGAGCAGAGUUCUUUGCGAGAUGAAUUCCUACAUUCGGACACAAUGUCCCACUGCAAACCCAGGCCAUAGGCUCAUCCCCAUGAACGGCUUGUCCUCACUGCCUCCUGCAGCCAGGUCCUGACCUGAACUCUGCAACCGAAUACUUGAAAUAGGAAGUAGGAAAUCCAGUAGGAAAAAUAGGGUCAUUGAAAUAGAAAAACAAAAUAUAAACAAACCAUGUAGAGUUAGCUCUUUCUAUGUGUGUGCCAAUUUUGUCACAGUUAUUGUUUGGGGGGAUUGUUUUCUGCCCUGCUUUUGUUGAUUAAAAGUAUUAUUGGUCCUCCCUUUCUGCAACCAUAUCAUUUACUCCCUUAAAAUUAAAUCCUAUCAAAUAUAGCAUUUUUUCUCAUUUGAUGUAAUAUUCUCUUGACAUUUGGAAGUUACAAAAACAUCCCUUUUCACAUAUUAAAAAUAGUCUCUGGGUUUACAACAAACACUGUGACGUUGAGAAGGUAUUUUCUUUGUGCAAACAUUAGCAAAUUCCCUUCUACUUACAAUGUAGUGAAGAGUUUGGGCUAACAUUUAGGACAAGUUGGUCUAAGACUUACUAUGUGCAAAGCAGGCUUGUACUUUAUACCCCCUUUUGAUUUCUAUGUACAGUCUCAAUUUUGUAUUUAAUGAUUUUUGUGUAUUCAAUCUGCACGUUUACAGCGUGUCAACUUCCAUUUGAAAGUGGGUUUUACUUUUUAAACAGUGUUUAUGAUGAGACCUCAAAUGUAUUGACAUAAGCUCUCUCUGCGGUGUUCUUGUGUAGAGUGGUGUUUGAAUGCUGCCAGGGGUCAAUGUAUCUACCUUCCCGAGACCCUCGUUUGAUAGUGCUUCUUGUAAUAUUUCCUCAAGUGAGUGGCAUGUGGGUUGUGAUAUUGACCAUGUGAUUAUGGACAUCGAUGUGAAAAACAUAAAUAAAACUAAGGAACCCUCGAAACUACCAGUGGGCAUGUAUUAGCCAGUUAUUGUAGCCUUUGUUCAGUAGCAGUACAAUGUACAAGGUAUGUACAGUUCCUGAAUUUGUUAUCAUGUGUAUGAGAAGUACUUUGUGCUGAUCGCCUUAUUUAUAUUCAUCAAAUAAACCUUAUUUCUUUCUGAA